GGGCGGAUGGUUUAGUGGUAUAAUACUCCCUUAGCAUGAUUCCAUCUAAUGGAUAAAAUCUGGGAGUGGUCCGGGGUUCGAUUCCCCGUUCGUCCA
rnacentral:tRNA from 1 species